UUGCAAACCUCCAGCGUGCGUGGGUCUGCAGUGACCCUGUGCAUUCCUACAGUGCUUGCAAGAACAGGGUUGAAAUGUUUGAGGCUUUGCUCUGCUCCGUCUACAGAGCAAGGUAGUAGACAUUUCAGACAGUU
rnacentral:snoRNA from 1 species